rfam:Schistosoma margrebowiei strain Zambia genome assembly, scaffold: SMRZ_scaffold0000562
AGCUUUCUGAAUCCAUGCAGAGAUUUCGUCAGACAUCAACCCAUAAUGGUUGAUCAGACUUCCAAGAUAAGUGAGGUU